AGCGGGUCAUGGAGCAGGCUUCUCGGCGACCCCCCCGGCUCCCAGAAAAGCCGGAGGGUCGCGCAGGUACCGCCUCACCGCUCCGUGCGGGCCCCCCGCCGCCACGUCGAGGG